rnacentral:rRNA from 1 species
CAGUCGCCGCGGGAAUACGUAGGUCCCGAGCGUUGUCCGGAUUUAUUGGGCGUAAAGCGAGCGCAGGCGGUUAGAUAAGUCUGAAGUUAAAGGCUGUGGCUUAACCAUAGUACGCUUUGGAAACUGUUUAACUUGAGUGCAAGAGGGGGGAGUGGAAUUCCAUGUGUAGCGGUGAAAUGCGUAGAUAUAUGGAGGAACACCGGUGGCGAAAGCGGCUCUCUGGCUUGUAACUGACGCUGAGGCUCGAAAGCGUGGGGAGCAAACAGGAUUAGAGACCCCUGUAGUCCCUGUCUCUUAUACC